rnacentral:snoRNA from 1 species
CGUUGUGAUGAACCCAGAUAGGGACAGCUUAUGCUACGGCACAUGAUGCGAACCCUGGCGAGUAUUUUAGUAGAUGCCUCGAUUUUCUGACA